ACAAGCAUGACUUCUGCGUCCAGGCAUGUUACUCGCCAUAUCCCACAAAACCACCUUCUUGAUUAUUGACCUCGAGAGCGUCUAACUGAGCACGAACUGCAGCUAAGGUCAUCAUCUACGGUGCGAGGUUGUUAACUACGUCAUCUUUCGUAAAGUUUUUGAUGUCUCAUCUGAAUGGAUGGUCAGGAGGGAGGAAUUGUCAAUGUUUGUCAAACGAAGAAUACUU
rnacentral:lncRNA from 1 species